GACGAACGCUGGCGGCGUGCUUAACACAUGCGAGUCGAACGGAAAGGCCCUGCUUUUGUGGGGUGCUCGAGUGGCGAACGGGUGAGUAACACGUGAGUAACCUGCCCUUGACUUUGGGAUAACUUCAGGAAACUGGGGCUAAUACCGGAUAGGAGCUCCUGCUGCAUGGUGGGGGUUGGAAAGUUUCGGCGGUUGGGGAUGGACUCGCGGCUUAUCAGCUUGUUGGUGGGGUAGUGGCUUACCAAGGCUUUGACGGGUAGCCGGCCUGAGAGGGUGACCGGCGACAUUGGGACUGCGGUAAGGGCCAGACGCCUACGGGAGGCAGCAGGGGGGAAUAUGGUACAAUGGGCGGAAGUCUGAGGCAGCAACGCCGCGUGCGGGAUGACGGGCUUCGGGUUGUAAAAAGACUUCGCCUGUGACGAAGCGUGAGUGACGGUAAUGGGUAAAGAAGCACCGGCUAACUACGUG
rnacentral:rRNA from 1 species